GAUGAACGCUAGCGGCAGGCCUAAUACAUGCAAGACGAACGGUAAGAUUUUUAGCAAUAAGAGUCCUAGAGUGUCGUAAGGGUGCGUAACACGUAUGCAAUCUGCCCUCAACAGGAGAAUAGCUCCCCGAAAGGGGAAUUAACACUCCGUAAGAUUGUGGUUCGGCAUCGGACAGCAAUUAAAACUACGGUGGUUGAGGAUGAGCAUGCGCAUGAUUAGUUAGUUGGCGGGGUAACGGCCCACCAAGACGAUGAUCAUUAGGGGAACUGAGAGGUUGAUCCCCCACACUGGCACUGAGAUACGGGCCAGACUCCUACGGGAGGCUG
rnacentral:rRNA from 1 species